rnacentral:rRNA from 1 species
AAAAGAAGAUCAAGAAGAGCUUCAGAAUGAAGCUUUCUUGAUGGAGGGGAGCGGCAGACGGGUGAGUAACGCGUGGGAACGUACCCUUUGCUACGGAAUAGCUCCGGGAAAUUGGAAUUAAUACCGUAUGUGCCCUACGGGGGGAAGAUUUAUCGGCAAAGGAUCGGCCCGCGUUGGAUUAGCUAGUUGGUGGGGUAAUGGCCUACCAAGGCGACGAUCCAUAGCUGGUCUGAGAGGAUGAUCAGCCACAUUGGGACUGAGACACGGCCCAAACUCCUACGGGAGGCAGCAGUGGGGAAUAUUGGACAAUGGGCGCAAGCCUGAUCCAGCCAUGCCGCGUGAGUGAUGAAGGCCUUAGGGUUGUAAAGCUCUUUCACCGGAGAAGAUAAUGACGGUAUCCGGAGAAGAAGCCCCGGCUAACGUCGUGCCAGCCGCCGCAGUAACAC